rnacentral:rRNA from 1 species
AAUCCUGCAGCUUAACUGUAGAACUGUCAUUGAUACUGGGCUUCUUGAAUGUAGUUGAGGUAGGCGGAAUGUGUAGUGUACCGGUGAAAUGCUUAGAUAUUACACAGAACACCGAUUGCGAAGGCAGCUUACUAAACUACGAUUGACGCUGAGGUACGAAAGCGUGGGGAGCGAACAGGAUUAGAUACCCUGGUAGUCCACGCUGUAAACGAUGAUCACUCGUUGUUGGCAAUACACCGUCAGCGACUGAGCGAAAGCAUUAAGUGAUCCACCUGGGGAGUACGACCGCAAGGUUGAAACUCAAAGGAAUUGACGGGGGCCCGCACAAGCGGAGGAACAUGUGGUUUAAUUCGAUGAUACGCGAGGAACCUUACCUGGGCUUAAAUGUAGAACGACGGACCGGGAAACUGGUCUUUCUUCGGACGGUCUGCAAGGUGCUGCAUGGCUGUCGUCAGCUCGUGCCGUGAGGUGUCGGGUUAAGUCCCAUAACGAGCGCAACCCUCAUCAUUAGUUGCCAGCGGGUAAUGCCGGGGACUCUAAUGAAACUGCCGGUGUAAACCGAGAGGAAGGUGGGGAUGACGUCAAGUCAGCACGGCCCUUAUGUCCAGGGCUACACACGUGUUACAAUGGUCGGUACAAAGGGCAGCUACCUGGCGACAGGAUGCUAAUCUCGAAAACCGAUCUCAGUUCGGAUCGAAGUCUGCAACUCGACUUCGUGAAGCUGGAUUCGCUAGUAAUCGCGCAUCAGCCAUGGCGCGGUGAAUACGUUCCCGGGCCUUGUACACACCGCCCGUCAAGCCAUGGAAGCUGGGGGUACCUGAAGUCCGUAACCGC